CUUUUGUAAUGACUCUAAUUGAUU
rnacentral:snRNA from 1 species